rnacentral:rRNA from 1 species
AGUGAACGCUGGCGGUAGGCCUAACACAUGCGAGUCGAACGGCAGCACAGUAAGAGCUUGCUCUUACGGGUGGCGAGUGGCGGACGGGUGAGGAAUACAUCGGAAUCUACUUUUUCGUGGGGGAUAACGUAGGGAAACUUACGCUAAUACCGCAUACGACCUACGGGUGAAAGCAGGGGAUCUUCGGACCUUGCGCGAUUGAAUGAGCCGAUGUCGGAUUGGCUAGUUGGCGGGGUAAUGGCCCACCAAGGCGACGAUCCGUAGCUGGUCUGAGAGGAUGGUCAGCCACACUGGAACUGAGACACGGUCCAGACUCCUACGGGAGGCAGCAGUGGGGAAUAUUGGACAAUGGGCGCAAGCCUGAUCCAGCCAUACCGCGUGGGUGGAGAAGGCCUUCGGGUUGUAAAGCCCUUUUGUUGGGAAAGAAAAGCAUCAGGUUAAUACCCCGCUGUUCUGACGGUACCCAAAGAAUAAGCACCGGCUAACUUCGUG